rnacentral:misc_RNA from 1 species
AAGAGAGUUGUGAUGAGCUCCCUAAACCCCCUGUGAACUUACCUUUGUUGUUGCCUCGGCAGGUUUGCGUCUACCGUAUGGGAGCGAACUCGACCCUCGGGGAGAGUACUUACCCCGUAAGGCUGAAAAGUCGUACGCUGUAAGUCCCUAGUAGUCGCUGGGUACCCCCUGCCGGUGGUAGUAAAAAUUCUGUUUUAGUGGAUUGUUAUUAUGAAAAGUUAGAAAAUGAGUUAA